UAAAUACUCCUUGGUGACCGAUAGCGGACAAGUACCGUGAGGGAAAGGUGAAAAGAACCCCGGGAGGGGAGUGAAAUAGAACCUGAAACCAUUUGCUUACAAUCCGUCGGAGCGAUGACUUCGGUUGUUGUGACGGCGUGCCUUUUGAAGAAUGAGCCUGCGAGUUAGCGGUGUGUGGCGAGGUUAACCCGAGUGGGGUAGCCGUAGCGAAAGCGAGUCUGAAUAGGGCGAUUCAGUCGCACACUCUAGACCCGAAGCGGAGUGAUCUACCCAUGGCCAGGGUGAAGCGACGGUAAGACGUCGUGGAGGCCCGAACCCACCAAAGUUGAAAAUUUGGGGGAUGAGCUGUGGGUAGGGGUGAAAGGCCAAUCAAACUCCGUGAUAGCUGGUUCUCCCCGAAAUGCAUUUAGGUGCAGCGUCAUGUGUUUCUUGCCGGAGGUAGAGCUACUGGAUGGGCUAGGGGGCCUACAAGCUUACUGAACUCAGCCAAACUCCGAAUGCCGGCAAGUCAGAACAUGGCAGUGAGACUGCGGGGGAUAAGCUUCGUAGUCGAGAGGGAAACAGCCCAGACCACCAACUAAGGCCCCUAAGCGUGUGCUAAGUGGGAAAGGAUGUGGAGUCGCACAGACAACCAGGAGGUUGGCUUAGAAGCAGCCACCCUUGAAAGAGUGCGUAAUAGCUCACUGGUCAAGUGAUUCCGCGCCGACAAUUUAGCGGGGCUCAAGCACACCGCCGAAGUUGUGGCAUUCACACACUGCUCGGCCCUUUUGGGUCCAGGCGUGUGGAUGGGUAGGGGAGCGUCGUGUGGCGAGCGAAGCGGCCGGGUAACCGAGCCGUGGAUGCCACACGAGUGAGAAUGCAGGCAUGAGUAGCGAAAGACGGGUGAGAAACCCGUCCGCCGAAUGACCAAGGGUUCCAGGGCCAGGCUAAUCCGCCCUGGGUAAGUCGGGACCUAAGACGAGGCCGACAGGCGUAGUCGAUGGACAACGGGUUGAUAUUCCCGUACCGGCUGUACCGCGACCCUGCCGAGGCAGAGGAUGCUAAGCGUCCGAAUCCACUGCGACCUUCGGGUCAAGGUGGAGGAGCACGCGAACCGAAUCUGUAGUAGGCAAGCAAUGGGGUGACGCAGGAAGGUAGCUCAACCCGGGCGAUGGUUGUCCCGGGGUAAGGAUGUAGGGCGAGACGUAGGCAAAUCCGCGUCUCACAUGCCUGAGAUCUGACGCCGAGCCGAUUAAGGCGAAGUGAGUGAUCCUAUGCUGCCGAGAAAAGCCUCUAGCGAGUUGUACAGCCGCCCGUACCCCAAACCGACACAGGUGGUCAGGUAGAGAAUACCAAGGCGAUCGAGAGAACUGUGGUUAAGGAACUCGGCAAAAUACCCCCGUAACUUCGGGAGAAGGGGGGCCGAUUGAUGUGACGGGACUUGCUCCCUGAGCACCGGUUGGCCGCAGAGACCAGGCCCAAGCGACUGUUUACUAAAAACAUAGGUCCAUGCGAAGUCGCAAGACGAUGUAUAUGGACUGACGCCUGCCCGGUGCUGGAACGUUAAGGGGACGGGUUAGCGACUUCGGUCGCGAAGCUCAGAACUUAAGCGCCAGUAAACGGCGGUGGUAACUAUAACCAUCCUAAGGUAGCGAAAUUCCUUGUCGGGUAAGUUCCGACCUGCACGAAUGGCGUAACGACUUGGGCGCUGUCUCAACCACAGACUCGGCGAAAUUGCACUACGAGUAAAGAUGCUCGUUACGCGCGGCAGGACGGAAAGACCCCGGGACCUUUACUACAGCUUGGUAUUGGUGGUCGGUUCGAUUUGUGU
rnacentral:rRNA from 1 species